AGGCAUAGUUUGCACACACAAGUUCCCAAGAGGUGUUUGACACCACUAUGGUAUUGAGCACAAACCCCUACAGCUAACACACCAAGAUCCAUGCCUUUGGGCUCCAUCUAUACCAUGGAAACAAAGCCCAAACUUUCAACAAAAUGAAAAAUGCAAAUCCAAAAGGUAUACUUUUAAGAUGACAAUGCAUAGGAGGGUUUCAUGUGCACAAUGACAAAGUGACAUGGGGGUUUGAACCCCAUGUUUGUGUCAUGCACAUCAACAACUCCAACACACACAAUUCCUCUCAAGCACUAGCAUCAAGCUCACACACAAGAAAUCUUUAUAUAACAAGAGAGUAUACACACCCCCCACACAUGGGCAUGUGAUGGUGCACACUCUCCCAAGCACCACUAGUAUCUUCCUAGUAUUCAUGUCACCAUCAUUGUGCAAACUACCACAACAAACCCCAUCCUCACAUGCUAACACAAUAGCUAUCUUGUGCUACUCCUCGCCUCAAGACAAGUGAUGAGGGGGAGGCACCCACACCCCACUAUAACAAGGCAGAUAAUAAAAUCUACAAGAUCCCUUAGACCACCUUAAUCUCCCAAAGAUGGGCUCCACAAGAGUAGCUAGUGCAUCCUAUCUCCUUAAGGCACAACACACACAAUGAAAACACCUCACAUGCACAACUCCUACCAAGUGUACUCCACACCACUAGAUGCAAUCCACAAGGCUCACCAUGCUAGCAAUACCACAUCUAAUCACUUGCAAGUGUGCAACUCACACACAAGGGAACUGCUACUAACUACACUAGCAGGAGAAAAAAAAAUGAACUUAAAUCCAGCUUGCUGCCCACGCCCAAGGAAGAGGUAGAACAACUAAAGGCAGCAAGAAAAGAAGGGAAAAAAAAUAGCUACAGCAAAUAACAGGGUCCUGGGAUUCGAACCCUGCAUCCCCUGGUACA
rnacentral:lncRNA from 1 species